GAGUGAACGCUGGCGGUAGGCCUAACACAUGCAAGUCGAACGGCAGCACAGUAAGAGCUUGCUCUUACGGGUGGCGAGUGGCGGACGGGUGAGGAAUACAUCGGAAUCUACUUUUUCGUGGGGGAUAGCGUAGGGAAACUUACGCUAAUACCGCAUACGACCUACGGGUGAAAGCAGGGGAUCUUCGGACCUUGCGCGAUUGAAUGAGCCGAUGUCGGAUUAGCUAGUUGGCGGGGUAAAGGCCCACCAAGGCGACGAUCCGUAGCUGGUCUGAGAGGAUGAUCAGCCACACUGGAACUGAGACACGGUCCAGACUCCUACGGGAGGCAGCAGUGGGGAAUAUUGGACAAUGGGCGCAAGCCUGAUCCAGCCAUACCGCGUGGGUGAAGAAGGCCUUCGGGUUGUAAAGCCCUUUUGUUGGGAAAGAAAAGCAGCAGGUUAAUACCCCGCUGUUCUGACGGUACCCAAAGAAUAAGCACCGGCUAACUUCGUG
rnacentral:rRNA from 1 species